rnacentral:tRNA from 1 species
UCCCUGGUGGCUCAGUGGUAAAGAAUCUGCCUACAAUGCAGGAGACCCAGGUUUGAUCCCUGGGUUGGGAA